rnacentral:rRNA from 1 species
CAGAGGUCCCGAGCGUUGUUCGGAUUCACUGGGCGUAAAGGGUGCGUAGGUGGCGAGGUAAGUCGGAUGUGAAAGCUCGGAGCUCAACUCCGAAAUGGCAUUGGAAACUACCUUGCUCGAGGGUUGGAGGGGGGACUGGAAUACUUGGUGUAGCAGUGAAAUGCGUAGAUAUCAAGUGGAACACCAGUGGCGAAGGCGAGUCCCUGGACAACUCCUGACACUGAGGCACGAAAGCUAGGGGAGCAAACAGGAUUAGAUACCCUGGUAGUCCUAGCCGUAAACGGUGCAUGUUUGCUGUAAAAGGAUUCGACCCCUUUUGUGGCGUAGCCAACGCGUUAAACAUGCCGCCUGGGAAGUACGGUCGCAAGAUUA